rnacentral:rRNA from 1 species
UACCAGCACCCCGAGUGGUCGGGACGAUUAUUGGGCCUAAAGCAUCCGUAGCCGGUUCUACAAGUCUUCCGUUAAAUCCACCUGCUUAACAGAUGGGCCGCGGAGGAUACUAUAAGACUAGGAGGCAGGAGAGGCAAGCGGUACUCAGUGGGUAGGGGUAAAAUCCGUUGAUCCAUUGAAGACCACCAGUGGCGAAGGCGGCUUGCCAGAAUGCGCUCGACGGUGAGGGAUGAAAGCUGGGGGAGCAAACCGG